AUUGAACGCUGGCGGCAUGCCUUACACAUGCAAGUCGAACGGCAGCACGGGUGCUUGCACCUGGUGGCGAGUGGCGAACGGGUGAGUAAUACAUCGGAACAUAUCCUGUAGUGGGGGAUAGCCCGGCGAAAGCCGGAUUAAUACCGUAUACGAUCUACGGAUGAAAGCGGGGGACCUUCGGGCCUCGCGCUAUAGGGUUGGCCGAUGGCUGAUUAGCUAGUUGGUGGGGUAAAGGCCUACCAAGGCGACGAUCAGUAGCUGGUCUGAGAGGACGACCAGCCACACUGGGACUGAGACACGGCCCAGACUCCUACGGGAGGCAGCAGUGGGGAAUUUUGGACAAUGGGCGAAAGCCUGAUCCAGCAAUGCCGCGUGUGUGAAGAAGGCCUUCGGGUUGUAAAGCACUUUUGUCCGGAAAGAAAUCCUUGGCUCUAAUACAGUCGGGGGAUGACGGUACCGGAAGAAUAAGCACCGGCUAACUACGUG
rnacentral:rRNA from 1 species